GAUGAUGUCCUAAGUGCAGCUUCAAUUAUAGAGAGAUCCUGACUGAGUUUCUUCAUUCUUCUGAAUGAGGCAAUAACUCCAAUAGGAACAAACCCCUGCUUGUUCUUCUUCACGAAUUUAAUCAGGAACUCAUCCGUAGGAAGAUUCUCAUCGCUGAAGUAGUACUCCACCUGCUUGACGAUCCGGUCGCAGAGCUCGUCGGUGAGCACGACACCACCCGCGCCAGCCUCGGAGGGCUCCAUAGGUACGGCAGCGGCGCCGGCUUCUGCGACGACGGGGGCCACAUCCUCCUCCACCACCUC
rnacentral:sRNA from 1 species